rnacentral:rRNA from 1 species
UACAGAGGUCUCAAGCGUUGUUCGGAUUCAUUGGGCGUAAAGGGCGUGUAGGCGGCGCGCUAAGUCGGGUGUGAAAUUUCGGAGCUUAACUCCGAAACUGCAUUCGAUACUGGCGUGCUUGAGGACUGGAGAGGAGACUGGAAUUCAUGGUGUAGCAGUGAAAUGCGUAGAGAUCAUGAGGAAGACCAGUGGCGAAGGCGGGUCUCUGGACAGUUCCUGACACUGAGACACGAAGGCCAGGGGAGCAAACGGG